GGCAGCAUCAUGAAGAGGCUAGCGGGCAGUGUGCUGGGGCUUCUGUUUGCCCAGGUUUGCUGUGUGCGAGGGGCGGAUGUGGAGCAGAGUCCCCCCGCCCUGAGUCUCCAGGAGGGAGCCAGCUCCACGCUGCGGUGUAAUUUUUCCUUCUCCCCACAGAAUGUGCAGUGGUAUCGUCAGAUCCCUGGGGGCCGCCUCAUCCACCUGUUUUUCAUUGCUUCAGGGACAAAGCAGAAUGGAAGGUUAAAUGCCACGACAGUCCCUAAAGACCGCCACAGCUCACUGUACAUUUCCUCUUCCCAGACCACAGACUCAGCCACUUACUUCUGUGCUGUGCAGCACGGUGCUCCCCAGGCAGCUGCAGCCUGUGCACAAACCCUCAGCCGGGCUCAGCCCCUCCUCCAGCCACAGUCACACCAUGAGGCCACCACAUGGCAGUUUCAUCACUUAUUAUUCCUUACUGAUACAGUUUUAACCACAUACACAUUUCUUGAUCUAUGGCUCUUUUUGCAUUAUAGCCUCUAA